CAGCCGCCGCGGGAAUACGGAGGGGGCUAGCGUUAUUCGGAAUUACUGGGCGUAAAGCGCACGUAGGCGGCUUCGCAAGUCAGAGGUGAAAGCCUGGGGCUCAACUCCAGAAUUGCCUUUGAGACUGCGUCGCUCGAAUCCGGGAGAGGUGAGUGGAAUUCCGAGUGUAGAGGUGAAAUUCGUAGAUAUUCGGAAGAACACCAGUGGCGAAGGCGGCUCACUGGACCGGCAUUGACGCUGAGGUGCGAAAGCGUGGGGAGCAAACAGGAUUAGAUACCCCAGUAGUCCCUGUCUCUUAUAC
rnacentral:rRNA from 1 species